CUUUUCUGUAAAAUAUUCACGUUUUUGUGCUAUGAUAUUUCAUACAUUAAAUUACACCUUGCAUAUCCACACUUGGUUCAGAACUAACAUCACACCACCAAACACUUCUGACAUUAUCUUUACAGGGAAGAUUUUCUAAUGGCUGGUGUUGAGGCGCUGAUGACCUAGAUUUGGAUCCUUUUGAAGAAAGUUUCAAAUCCAUGGAUCUAGCUUCGGAUGCAGUCCAAAUUGAUGAGGACCAAGCAAACAACUUACUCAACAGUGUGCUGGGAUCCUAAAGGGAAUUUCCAUCCUACUUGUGUGGCUGAAGGACAUCAUCAACCAAUUUUGGUACAUUUGCCAGAAAGCACAACAUCGUGAUAUGUUUAAUGACAUGUGGGUGGGUGUGCUUCACCAUGUCACAGGGAAGCAUGAAUGGACCCGUGGCAAAUGUGACCAUGGACCACUUGAUGCAACGACCAGUGAUGAAGAGCUCAUGGUACCAUGAUCUCCACCACACGAGGCUCUUCAACGAAUCAUGUUCAACAGACGCUGGUUGAAGGAUGUCACCAAUCUGACCUUUAGGUAUAUUAAUAACAUUUUCAAAAGCAAAAAAGCUAAAGUGUCAAUAUCAAAGCUGACAAUUUACAUAUAGAAAUGACAAUUGUGGGUGAAAAGGCAAUCAAAAGUGUGAUUCCUAAUAAUCUAUAAAGUUGUAGCUUUUGUUUUUUUUACAGGUCAACUUCAGAACUGGAGUUUCCAGAAUUGCAUUCUCAUGUAAUCUAUGUAUGAUCUAAUGCUGCUGUUCUCCUCUCUCCAUAAAGGCCCCAGCUACGUGAAGCAUCAAAAGACAGGAAUGACUUCUUUCAUGCACACAGAUUUAUUAGAAAUUAAGAAAAAAUUCUAUGUACAAAUGCAAAUAACAGAACUUUUUUGUACAUAAAUAAAUAUAUUGCACAAACUGUUUAUUUUUGGGUGAAAAUGCUGUCUUCAGCUAAAGUUAUUUUGAGGUAUUGUGCCGUUUUGGAACUAUUGUAGUUGUAGAUAAACGGUUUGGAUUUUUGGGUUAGGGUGCCCUCAGUCAGGAAGACUGUGUCCUGGCGUCUCUUGCCGAAACUCCAGGAUAUCCAGCAUCACCUCUGGAAGACGGGUCACCACUCUCUCGAGAAUAUAAUCUCUCUCCUCCUGGCUCAGGUGUUGUAAAGCUGUCUAGAAAUUAAAGAGCAUAUGUUUACAUGACUAGA